rnacentral:rRNA from 1 species
UUUAAUGAGAGUUUGAUCCUGGCUCAGGACGAACGCUGGCGGCGUGCCUAAUACAUGCAAGUAGAACGCUGAGGUUUGGUGUUUACACUAGACUGAUGAGUUGCGAACGGGUGAGUAACGCGUAGGUAACCUGCCUCAUAGCGGGGGAUAACUAUUGGAAACGAUAGCUAAUACCGCAUAAGAGUAAUUAACACAUGUUAGUUAUUUAAAAGGAGCAAUUGCUUCACUGUGAGAUGGACCUGCGUUGUAUUAGCUAGUUGGUGAGGUAAAGGCUCACCAAGGCGACGAUACAUAGCCGACCUGAGAGGGUGAUCGGCCACACUGGGACUGAGACACGGCCCAGACUCCUACGGGAGGCAGCAGUAGGGAAUCUUCGGCAAUGGACGGAAGUCUGACCGAGCAACGCCGCGUGA